rnacentral:rRNA from 1 species
GACGAACGCUGGCGGCGUGCUUAACACAUGCAAGUCGAACGGAAAGGCCCUGCUCUUGUGGGAUGCUCGAGGGGCGAACGGGUGAGUAACACGAGAGAAACCUGCUCUUGAUUUGGGGAUAACUACAGGAAACUGGGGCUAAUACCGGAUAGGCGCUCCCGCUGCAUGGUGGGGGUUGAAGAGUUUCGGCGGUUGGGGAUGGACUCGGGGCAUAUCCGCGUGGUGGUGGGGGAGGGCCUUCCCAAGGCUUGGACGGUGAGCGGGCCUGAGGGGGUGACCGGCCCCAUUGGGCCGGGGUAACGGCCCGACUUCCACCGGGGGGCGGCAUGGGGAAAUAUUGCACAAGGGUCGGAAGCCUAAGGCAGCAACGCCGCUUGCGGGAUGACGGCCUCCGGUUUGUAAACCGCUUCCGCCUGUGCGAAAGUUUGUGUGACGGUAAUGGGUAAAGAAGCACCGGCUAACUACGUG